rnacentral:rRNA from 1 species
UACGUAGGGGGCAAGCGUUGUUCGGAAUUACUGGGCGUAAAGCGCACGUAGGCGGCUUGGCAAGUCGGAUGUGAAAUCCCUCGGCUCAACCAAGGAAGUGCAUCCGAAACUGCCGAGCUUGAGUACUUAAGAGGAUCGCGGAAUUCCCGGUGUAGAGGUGAAAUUCGUAGAUAUCGGGAGGAACACCAGUGGCGAAGGCGGCGAUCUGGGAAGAUACUGACGCUGAGGUGCGAAAGCGUGGGGAGCAAACAGG